GUGAAUCAUCAAAUUUUUGAACGCAUAUUGCACUCUUUGGUAUUCCGGAGAGUAUGCCUGUUUGAGGGUAAUUAAAAAGAAUCUUUAACCAAUUUUUUUGGUUAAAGGAUAUGAGUUAUCAUCGUUUAUAGCGGUAUCUUGACAUAAAUGGUCAUGUCUCAUUUUAGUCGAGACGCGUACUAAUAUUAUUUCGCGAAAUCUUCAUUAUGUGACUAUCAAGUUUUGAUGAAUACAAAUUUGGUUUGAUUGCUAUCUAUU
rnacentral:misc_RNA from 1 species